GACGAACGCUGGCGGCGUGCUUAACACAUGCAAGUCGAACGGAAAGGCCCUGCUUUUGUGGGGUGCUCGAGUGGCGAACGGGUGAGUAACACGUGAGUAACCUGCCCUUGACUUUGGGAUAACUUCAGGAAACUGGGGCUAAUACCGGAUAUGAGCUCCUGCUGCAUGGUGUGGGUUGGAAAGUUUCGGCGGUUGGGGAUGGACUCGCGGCUUAUCAGCUUGUUGGUGGGGUAGUGGCUUACCAAGUCUUUGACGGGUAGCCGGCCUGAGAGGGUGACCGGCCACAUUGGGACUGAGAUACGGCCCAGACUCCUACGGGAGGCAGCAGUGGGGAAUAUUGCACAAUGGGCGGAAGCCUGAUGCAGCAACGCCGCGUGCGGGAUGACGGCCUUCGGGUUGUAAACCGCUUUCGCCUGUGACGAAGCGUGAGUGACGGUAAUGGGUAAAGAAGCACCGGCUAACUACGUG
rnacentral:rRNA from 1 species